GGUCCUGAGAGAAGACGGGGGGCGGAGCGAGGGGACAGGAAGUGGUGCGCUCCGGGUAGCUGCUCCCGGGCAUGCUCCGCUGGACCCGCGCCUGGAGUCUCCCCCUUAGGGGGCUCGGCCCCUGCUGUCUCAGCUCCUCCAGGGUGCCCGUCGCACCCAGCAGCAGUGGCCGAAGCGGCGUCGAGCCGAGGUCGGUACUGCUUUCCUACAAGCUUCUGGACGGAGAGGCGACCCGCCCGGCCCUAGUGUUCCUGCACGGGCUCUUCGGCUCCAAAACCAACUUCAACUCCAUCGCCAAGGCCCUGGCCCAUCAGACUGGCCGAAGGGUGCUUACGGUGGAUGCUCGGAACCAUGGUGACAGCCCCCACAGCCCAGACAUGAGCUACGAGGCCAUGAGCCAGGACCUGCAGGACCUCCUGCCCCAGCUGGGCCUUGUGCCCUGCGUCCUCAUUGGCCACAGCAUGGGAGGCAAGACAGCCAUGCUGCUAGCGCUCCAGAGGCCAGAGCUGGUAGAACGCCUAAUUGCUGUGGACAUCAGCCCAGUGGAGACCACACCGAGCUCCAGCUUCCCAUCCUACAUGGCGGCCAUGAGGGCUGUAGACAUCCCAGAUGAGGUGCCCCGCUCCUCUGCCCGAAAACUGGCCGACGAGCAGCUCAGCACUGUUAUCCAAGACAUGGCCGAGCGUCAGUUCUUGCUCACUAACCUGGUGGAGGUGGAUGGGCGCUUCGUGUGGAGGGUGAACUUGGAAGCAUUGGCCCAGCACGUGGACAAGAUCUUGGCUUUCCCACCACGACCAGAAUCUUACCCUGGGCCAACCCUCUUCCUCCUGGGUGGAAACUCUCAAUAUGUGCGCCCCAGCCACCACGCGGAGAUUAGGCGGCUCUUCCCUCAAGCCCAGAUGCAGACCGUGCCCAAUGCUGGCCACUGGAUCCACGCUGACUGCCCCCAGGACUUUGUGGCUGCCAUCCGAGGCUUCCUGGCCUAAGAGUUGCUGGCAAGAGGGGGCAGGAAACCCCAGGCUUCCAGGCCCUGUGGCCCGCUCCAUGUUUCUGCACAAAAGGACUCAGGACCUCCAGUAGCUGGGCCUCCACAGCGCGCAAUUUGGCUUUGCAUGUGUCCAGCUCGGCCUCCAGUGCGUGCUUCCUGCAUGUGGCGGGGAGAGCAGCUUGGACCCCGCACAUCUGCUGUGUGGCCACAGCCCCCGCCGUGUGACAGGGUGAGAGCUUAUGUGGCUUUCCCUGCAGGAAUACUUGACUUCUCACCUCCUCUCCUCUAGCAGGACAGAGCCCUGAGGGUGAGCCACCCACUGCCCUCCCAGCCCCCAUCAGCAUCUGCCUCUCACUUGGCAAUGGCUUCAUCCCGCUCCUGGAGGACUUGAUCCAGCGAGGGCUCUGUCUGGGCAUCCCCCAGUGCUCCAGCCACUUGGGAUUCUGGGCUCUGUUGUAGGGUGACAGAGAAGGGAGCAGGGAUUAGAGCUUGUCUAGAUGAGGUGUCCCCCUUCUGGGCCCUUCUGCCCUUCCCUUGGCUCUGAUGCUAGUGUCAGCAGGGGAGGGGUCUGGAAAGUUCUGUUCCUGCCCCCCAGUACCCAUCUCCUGGACCUCUGAAAGUAGAGCAGGGGGACUGUGCCAUGCUGAGGGGUUGGCAGGUGUGGCCUCUGCCUGGGACAAGGGUAAACAGAGGGGACAGGGCGUGUGGACCCUCAAGGAGGAAAGAAGUUGUCACCUAAGCCACAGGAAAGAGACAAGGUGGGUUUCAGAAGGACACUUACCCCUCUAGGGCCCCGGACAGAGAGAGUGGCCUGGUGACUGGGACUCUUGUCAGUGGGGUGGGGCAGGCAGACAACAUGGCCCUUUGCCCUCCCUUCCGGACUAGGCACUCCCUGUCAGGCUCCGCCCCUGACUGGCUGGCCAGGCCCCUGCCUCCCCUCCUGGAUCCUGGAACCCUCCUGCCCUGCCCAGAGCUUCCUCAGCCCCAUUCCUGCACCGUCACACCUGUCCCUCACCCCAAGGGGGCGCUCUACCCAUGUCAGGAGAUGAGAAGGGAGGGACAGAGCCAGGACCAUCUUCAGUGCGGGACAGGUCGUCUAGGUAGCCCACGCCUCCCCCCCACCCCCACCCCCCAGUGCAUUCAUUGAGCACACCAGUGACAUCAAAGGUAUGAAAGAGAAUUUUCCCCAUUGAGAAGCCUCUUCGGCAAGGUCAUGUCUAGGGGAUUAGAUCCUCAACUCCACCCUAAACCGUAAAUAUUUUUCCCAGGAAACCCUGGCAGACACACCUCCUGGUUGCCCGUGGGUGCCACUGAGGCAUGGGUAUCUCCAAGAGCCAGACCAACAAUUUGGUUGAGCUCCAGGUGAAGAGGUGGGGUUGAACCGUACCCCCAAAUACAUACACCCUUUUGUUGAGGAGAUUGAUUGUGUUUUGAGAGGCUGAUCUGUGCCAUGAUCCUGACAGGGCCCAGGGACCUGGUCUCAGGGACCUCCGAGGCCAGCAGGGAUGAAACGUAGAUCUAAUCAGAAAAGAGUGGCAGGGGGUCCAGGAACAGUGGGGGCACGAAGGAGGUCACAGGAGGUCACACCCUGUCCGUCACAGGAAGUUCCCUAGGACCGUGUCCAAAAUGAACCCUGCAGGCCAGCAGGAGUCAGUCAGGAGAAAGGCAUUUCUUUUAACUUUUUAUUUCGAAACAAUUUCAAAACUGCUCUUCAGUGUCCAAAAAAAUAUUCUUUUAGGGUAAAAAAAAAAAUCGAAUAUGGUAUCAAACAUUGUACCCAGUUGUCACAUCUCUCUGGUCCCCCUCGGUCUGGAACAAUUUGCAGCCUUUUUUUGAAUUUUGUGGUCUUGACAUUUUGAAGAUUACAGGGAAGUUAUUUUGUAGACCAUCCUCCAAUUUGGGCUUGUCCACGCCUUCCUUUGUGAUUAGACCACUGUUACCCAUUUUGGGCAGAGACAUCACAGAAAGGAUGCUGUGUUCUCCUAUCUGGUAUCGUUUGGAACCAUGACUGGUGGGAUCAAUGCUGAUCACUUGACCACGAUUAAUGAGCACCAGGGAAGGGAGGUAUUUUGAGACUAUGACACAUCCUUUCCUUUACCCCACUUUCACCCACAGGGUUCAGCAUCCAUCGAUGUUUCUUGCCCAGAUUAAUUAUUACUACAAUGAUUCGCAAAUGGGGGCACCUGGGUGGCUCAGUCGGUUAAGCAUCUGACUCUUGAUUUCAGCUCAGUUCACGAUCUC